UUUAGCUCAGCUGGUACAGCAUGAGACUCUUGAUUUUAGGGUCAUGGGUUCGAGCCCCAUGUCGGGGAAAA